CAGGGUAUAGAGUAAGAGCUCCCCCAAACUUUAACCCACAUCUGCCACCUGGUCAUUUCAGAUUCCUUGGACCAAAAGGCCAUGGGACGAGGGAAGGAGUCACUGUACUGGCAGGAAUUACUGUCCCUGAGCAACUGGCAGGAGAAGGUUUUUUUCAGGGAAAGAGACCACCUAGAAUCCUGAAAGAAUGGUCCGUAGAUGGACAGACUCACUCUGUGAAGCAGGUG
rnacentral:lncRNA from 1 species